rnacentral:tRNA from 2 species
GCCGCUGUAGCUCAGUUGGUAGAGCAGCGCAUUCGUAAUGCGAAGGUCGCCAGUUCGAAUCCGGCCAGCGGCACCA